GACCGCUCUGGUGGCCUACUGUCUAGAGCGUCCGCCUCGGCUGCGGGAUGUCCUGGGUUCUAACCCCGGCCGAGUCA